rnacentral:rRNA from 1 species
GUAGGGAAUAUUGGACAAUGGGGGGAACCCUGAUCCAGCCAUGCCGCGUGGAGGAAGACUGCCCUCUGGGUUGUAAACUCCUUUUAUAUGGGAAGAACCGUCCUCAUUAAUGAGUGACCUGACGGUACCAUAGGAAUAAGCACCGGCUAACUCCGUGCCAGCAGCCGCGGUAAUACGGAGGGUGCAAGCGUUAUCCGGAUUCACUGGGUUUAAAGGGUGCGUAGGCGGUUUUAUAAGUCAGUGGUGAAAUCAACGGGCUCAACCUGUUAACUGCCAUUGAUACUGUAGGACUUGAAUAUGAGAGAGGUAGGCGGAAUGUUGCAUGUAGCGGUGAAAUGCUUAGAUAUGCUACGGAACACCGAUUGCGAAGGCAGCUUACUAUUUCGUAAUUGACGCUGAGGCACGAAAGCGUGGGUAGCGAACAGGAUUAGAAACCCCGGUAGUCC